AUGAAAAAAAAUCGAGAGAAAGGAAAAACUAAAAAAAUUCUUCUUCAGUCUUCUUCCUUCUUCUCCUCUAUUCUCCCCUAUCCAUCACAAAAGAAAAAAAAUCUCUCCAUCGCGUCUCUUUUCUUCUCCGUUCCUUAUUUUUCAAGUUCUUUUCAAGAAGGAAGACUACUGCAGGUGAAGGCUUAUCAGUUCUAACGUGAUUUAGAGGAAGCGCCUUCUCAGUUAACAGGGGAAGCUAAACAAAAAACAAAAAUCGAUCUGAUUCAUUUCCAGCCCUAAAAUUCCUUCCCCAAUCUUCAUCAGCAAGUUUUGAUCAAGGUAAUAAAAAAAGAAUCUCUUCCUUCAAUUUCUGAUUUCAAAUCGAUCGACAACAACAGGUAGAAAAAAUCAAGGGUUUUGGUUUUCUCCCAUUAGUGAUGCUUCUCUUGCUGUAAUUACGAGGUGAUGGGAGACUGAAGAAUGGGUGUUCUGAUUUGAUUUUUCGUAGAACCAUGAGGUCCUAAGGAGCAAGGAGUGCAAAUCAUUUCAUCUCAUGACCAAGGAUUCAAAAGCACCAACGGGCUCGAUGCUUAAAACUAAGGUGUAGAAUAUUCGGUUGGUAAUACGCUGGAGAUUGAUGAAAAGGUCGUCUACCUGCAAACUGAAGGGGUUCUCUUCAAUAUCGGUGUCUGUCUAUUUCAUACACACCAAAUGGGUUCAAUGUUGAGGGGAUGAAGAUGGCAGUUAACAACCACAAAUCUGGGGCUAUUCUGGUUGUUCUUGGUUCGUUGUUGUGCUUAAACGUUUGUGAAGAUUUGGAGCUUCUGUUGCAACGAAAAGAAGUACGGUUGCAGGGACAUCUAAUCGUGGGUACAAUACAUGGAAUGAGUCUCCUGUGAUUUAGGAUGCAAAGCGGUGUCUCUUCAUCACCAGCCAGGUAAGUAUUUUUUUUGAAUUGUUGUGCUAUUGUUGAUCAUAAGUAUUUUGAAUUGUUGUGAGAGAUUGAAACUAAUGUCGGGUAAGCUUUUAUACUUCUUAAUUCGAGUUUUUAUUCUACUGGAGACUUUAUCUUUUGCAGGGUAUGAAAAUGAAAAACAAAUAAAAAAAAGCAUAUGGGUGGUGGGAAUGACCAGCAAGGUGAUAUUUGCUGGUCCCACAAAACAUAAAACCAAAAAAACACAUACCAAACCCUAAGAAAAAAGAAAAAACAUAACUCUUCGUUUCCUCAACUCUGUCUUUUGAUUUCGAAAAAAUUCCUCGUCUCCUUCACUGAAUCUUUAACCUUAGGUAAAUCUUUUGAUUUCAACAACCUAGCCCUAAUCUUUAACCUUGCGUCAAUCUCAAGUAGUUGUUUCGAGGAGGAUUUGGUUCUAUUUCGAAUCAGCAGGUAAAUUGAAUUCAAUACUGAUCUCUUUCGAUCUCAACAGGUACACAAACGAUAACUCUUAACCAGGUAUGAAUUUGAUUUUUUUUCCUAUCCUCUUUGCUUUGAUCUUGAUAUUGUAUCUCAAGAUUUUGAUGAUUUUAUUAGGGUUUAAUCUCAGGAUUUCUAUUGUAAUCUAGGGUUUGGUUUUGGGAAGAGCAACUGAGAAUGAGUCUAAAUCGGUAAGAAUGAGAGUGGGUUAAUCGGAGAUGGGGGUUUGAGAGUUCUUGGUUGAUGAUAAGAUUUUGGUUGAGAUCGAUUUGCAACCAGAUGAAGAAAUCAAUCGAGAAAACAUAUUCCAAGUUCAAAUAUUUCUCUAUUUUUUUCCCUAUCAAUUUCAAUUGAAUUUCGAUUUCAGAAUUACUUAUACAUUCAAUGGGGCAAUGGGUAGUUGCAGAGCUGUUGUUGGUGUUGCUACCAGAGAAGUUACAACAAUGGGGCAAUGGAUUCUGGGGUUGUUGUUGGUGCUGGAUGGCAAAGUGUCAUAGCUCAUGUGAACCUAGCCUGUUAUUACUUGGUCUUGGUCAGAAUUCCUGUUGUUAUGAUCCUCGGUUACCUUAUCAACAAAAGCUAAAUCCAGAGAUUGUCCAGACUUCAAACAACUAAUGAUAUGCUUCCAAUCCAGAGAACAAUCCUACAAUCCAGAAACCAUAAACUUGCCAGAAGCUUAAGGCUUUUCAUUAUGUACCUCUCCAUGUUCUAGUUCUCUAUGUUUAAUUCAUCGUCGUUAUCCUUUAUUUUUAAAAAAAAAUUUUACUGUUGGUAAUGGGUUCUUUUACAGAUUUUGGAACAAUAAUUACGUAAACCCUAAUUUAUGUUCUACAAUCACAACAACCCUUUACGUAAACCCUAAUUUAUGUUCCAUAUGCAAUUGAGAUGAACAAAACUGGAUCAAGUAGAAAUUAAUUAGACUUGAUCAAGGUUGAAGGAUGAACUUUGUGGCGCUAUCAAACUUGAAAUCUAGAUGCAUUCUUAGGGAUUACAUGUAUUCAAGGUACGAUGUUUCGCCACACCAAAAUGGUGCUUGGCUUAUUACAGGGAGAAUUUCGCUUAUGAGCACUGGGAUGAUAUCCUCGACAUCCAUAAUCAAUAUUGAGGUGGCUUUAUCAAUAGGUGAUGGACUGAGGCCUGGAUCAAUUUAUGAUGCUAAUGACAUCGCUCAAUUUGCUGAGUUUUUGACACAAAAAGAGUUAACACGUCGAGCGUGGGAGAAGGACGUACAGGUAUUUUUAGAGAAAUAAGCUCUUGCGGCAAAAUUGGCUCGAAAAGUGGUGUUUUACACCCCAGGAUAAAGUACUAAAGGCACCCAGGAAACACCCCGGAGGAGUGUUAAAAGCGCCCCAAAAAUGUGCUGGAGAAACCCCAGAAAAAUUACUAUUCACGCCCAAAAAAAUUACUAUUUGCACCCCAUAAGGCAAGUGCUAAAGGGACACCCGUAGAGGAUUAGGGGGAGGGCAUCUUCUUCCCAAAAAUUCAAA